AACCGAUAGAGUUAUCUGGAAAAUAAAAAAAAGAAAAGAAAAGAAAAGUGGAAUAAAGCAUGAUUGGUCCGAAGUAAGUAUGUAUUUGUAUUGACAUGCACAUUUCAUCAAGUGUCUCGUUAGUUUUUUAUCUUUGAGGAGUAUCUGUUUCUCCCUCCCCCAUUUGGUCUGAAAAGACAUGAGAGGACCGCUCCCUGUGGAUGUUAGCGUACCCUCUGACGAGAG
rnacentral:lncRNA from 1 species